rnacentral:ncRNA from 1 species
GAACCAGGGGGUCGGGUUGCUUUGCCUGGCGAAGCGACCUAAGGGCACAGGGAGUGCCCUCGGCAACGGACCGGGUUCGGCAGAGC